UUGCGGAGGUGCUCAUGGGUGCUGCAGC
rnacentral:sRNA from 1 species